GUUUAUCUAAUUCGCGCAAAUUCACAAGCAAAUCAUGUUCUUGCAUGUACUGAAACUGGAUAUAUAUAUAUAUUGUCUUCUGGCAUGUAAACUUAUGAUUGUUGGAGAUGUGGCGUUAAUUGUGGAAGUUUAUAAAGUUAGAGCUGCUUAUUUUUACUUAAUUUGUUGUAAACCCUGGUGGUUGAUGUUAACAGUGUCACACUUGAGACUGACUAGUGAUAUGUCUGCAUAACCUCCAUUGGUGAUACCAAUACGGAAUGAUGGUAGGUAAAUCCAGGCUUUGGGUGAUCUUUUUGGAGAGUGAUAAGGAGCUACUAACAGCUCUUCAGCUGAAUACGCGUUUUGAUAGCAUGUUACCUCUUGAGGGAAGCAUACAUAAAAUCAAUUGUGAAGAAGACUUUGGAGGCCAGUGGUCAGAAAUUUGCAUGCAUUCCAUUAUUCAUUUGUGGGCCUUUGCAUAUUGUUGGCUUCCCCUUGAAACUAUUGAUUUAAAUUUUAUGCAGUUUCUGAAGCUCUGUCCAUUCAUUUAUGAGCAUGUGCAUAUUGUUGUCUUCAUUUUGGUAAUUUUGAUCUUCUGAGAAUAAGCUGUGGGGCAUUGGAACG
rnacentral:misc_RNA from 1 species